rnacentral:rRNA from 1 species
UACGUAGGGUGCGAGCGUUAAUCGGAAUUACUGGGCGUAAAGCGUGCGCAGGCGGUCUGUUAAGACAGAUGUGAAAUCCCCGGGCUUAACCUGGGAACUGCAUUUGUGACUGGCAGGCUAGAGUAUGGCAGAGGGGGGUAGAAUUCCACGUGUAGCAGUGAAAUGCGUAGAGAUGUGGAGGAAUACCGAUGGCGAAGGCAGCCCCCUGGGCCAACACUGACGCUCAUGCACGAAAGCGUGGGGAGCAAACAGG